rnacentral:rRNA from 1 species
UACAGAGGGGGCAAGCGUUGUUCGGAUUUACUGGGCGUAAAGGGCGCGUAGGCGGUCGUGACAAGUCACUUGUGAAAUCUCCGGGCUUAACUCGGAACGGUCAAGUGAUACUGUCGGACUAGAGUACAGAAGGGGCAACUGGAAUUCUCGGUGUAGCGGUGAAAUGCGUAGAUAUCGAGAGGAACACCUGCGGCGAAGGCGGGUUGCUGGGCUGAUACUGACGCUGAGGCGCGAAAGCCAGGGGAGCGAACGGG